UGGGCCUGUCAUUUCCUCACU
rnacentral:miRNA from 1 species